GACGAACGCUGGCGGCGCGCCUAACACAUGCAAGUCGAACGGAGUCAAGAGGAGCUUGCUUUUCUUGACUUAGUGGCGAACGGGUGAGUAACGCGUGAGUAACCUGCCCUGGAGUGGGGGACAACAGUUGGAAACGACUGCUAAUACCGCAUAAGCCCACGGAUCUGCAUGGAUCUGCGGGAAAAGGAUUUAUUCGCUCUAGGAUGGACUCGCGUCCAAUUAGCUAGUUGGUGAGGUAACGGCCCACCAAGGCGACGAUUGGUAGCCGGACUGAGAGGUUGAACGGCCACAUUGGGACUGAGACACGGCCCAGACUCCUACGGGAGGCAGCAGUGGGGGAUAUUGCACAAUGGGGGAAACCCUGAUGCAGCGACGCCGCGUGGAGGAGGAAGGUUUUCGGAUUGUAAACUCCUGUCGUUAGGGACGAUAAUGACGGUACCUAACAAGAAAGCACCGGCUAACUACGUG
rnacentral:rRNA from 1 species